UUCACAGAAGAGAAGGAAGACCAAGGAAAUGAUUUGAUCAGGAUGAGGAAUGAAGAGCUCAUCUUGUGCUCAAACAAACAGAAGUCCUCUGAUGAUCUCAUCAGCCAAAUGAGGGGUUUUGAUCAAGUGAUGCUCUUGAAAGGAGUGAAAGAAGAGGAUGUGGUAAAUUGUCUUCAGAGAAAAGGCUUCUCAAAAGGUCUUAAAACAGCUUGAAGAAUGGUCUGGGAUCUUAGGACUGAGAGAUCCUCUGGCUGAGAACAUGCUACACCACAUCGGUGCUGGAUAUCAACCACAAACUGUUUCCAGACACGAGAGAAGAAGAUCACGAUGGGGAGAUGAAACCAGUUUAGAUGUGAUGAUAAGGAAUCAUUAUUUUCUGGAACAGUAUCACAUGUC